rnacentral:rRNA from 1 species
CGGCGGACGGGUGAGUAACACGUGGAUAACCUACCUAUAAGACUGGGAUAACUUCGGGAAACCGGAGCUAAUACCGGAUAAUAUAUUGAACCGCAUGGUUCAAUAGUGAAAGACGGUUUUGCUGUCACUUAUAGAUGGAUCCGCGCUGCAUUAGCUAGUUGGUAAGGUAACGGCUUACCAAGGCAACGAUGCGUAGCCGACCUGAAAGGGUGAUCGGCCACACUGGAACUGAGACACGGUCCAGACUCCUACGGGAGGCAGCAGGC